GACGAACGCUGGCGGCGUGCUUAACACAUGCAAGUCGAACGGAAAGGCCCUGCUUUUGUGGGGUGCUCGAGUGGCGAACGGGUGAGUAACACGUGAGUAACCUGCCCUUGACUUUGGGAUAACUUCAGGAAACUGGGGCUAAUACCGGAUAGGAGCUCCUGCUGCAUGGUGGGGGUUGGAAAGUUUCGGCGGUUGGGGAUGGACUCGCGGCUUAUCAGCUUGUUGGUGGGGUAGUGGCUUACCAAGGCUUUGACGGGUAGCCGGCCUGAGAGGGUGACCGGCCACAUUGGGACUGAGAUACGGCCCAGAUUCCUACGGGAGGCAGCAGUGGGGAUAUUGCACAAUGGGCGGAAGCCUGAUGCAGCAACGCCGCGUGCGGGAUGACGGCCUUCGGGUUGUAAACCGCUUUCGCCUGUGACGAAGCGUGAGUGACGGUAAUGGGUAAAGAAGCACCGGCUAACUACGUG
rnacentral:rRNA from 1 species